rnacentral:lncRNA from 1 species
GCCAUCAAAAUACUGAUUAAAAUUACACAUCUUUAACUGGACACACAAAUGGGUGCGCGCCGCAAAAUUCAGCCCUAAUGGUGAAUGUGUGCGAACGUUCACCGUGGGAAGAGGUAUGGGACGACAGCUGGCAUGGCAUCUAGACGGUAAUCUGGUGGCUUUAGCAUUAAGUUGUAACCGCUUUAAGAUAUUUGACAUAGCUGAAGGCGAGCUAAUACAGUGCAUUCGUCGCCGGAGAAUGAUGUUGCAUUUCACCCAAGUGGAAAUUUCUUGGUGACUGGCGGCGAUGACGAUACAAUAAGAUUGCUUGAUUUAUUAGAAGGUCGACCAAUUUAUACACGUUGCUCGUUUGGAAAUCUAAUUUGCAUACAUUUGAUGCCAAUAGCUCUCGCAACAAGCAAGCCAGCUCUCAAAGAGUCCAAAUUGAUUUUAGUCAUGCAACAGCUCCACAUAACUCCGACAUAGACACACACACCAGUUGCUGCAGUACCAAAAAGCUGUGAUGACAGUAUUUUAA